GGUAGUAAAAGUCGUAACAAGGUCUCCGUUGGUGAACCAGCGGAGGGAUCAUUACAGAGUUUUCACAACUCCCAACCCUUGCGAACCGUACCCAUUCUGUUCUCGUUGCUUCCGGCGGGGGGGACGGGGGGGCCCGAAACGGCCUCCCCGCCCCGCCCGCCGGGGGCGGCGGGCCCUACGAACCUUUAUAUCUCAACCACCAGAAGCCGUCUGAGAAAACAAACAAAAUAAUCAAAACUUUCAACAACGGAUCUCUUGGCUCUG
rnacentral:misc_RNA from 1 species